rnacentral:rRNA from 1 species
UAACGACCUCGGAUCAGGUAGGGAUACCCGCUGAACUUAAGCAUAUC